ensembl:lncRNA
GCGGCACCGGGUGGACCCGCUUGUUCCCGCCUCCCUCUUCGCCCAGCCAGUUCCCGUUGGCUGUCUGUCUGGGACAGGCACAAUGAUGGCGCUCCUGGAGCUCGGGGGCGGGGAGCUUUUCAGAGUGUAGAAUUUUCCUGCGAGUUGGACUCUUCACCAACUGACUGUCCCGAGGGGGCUGAAGCUGCUGCCCGGGUCAGUGGCGAGGUUCGGCGCAAUCUCUGGCUUGUAACUAGAGUCCGACGCUGGAUGCGCGGGGUGACGGUGCUGUCUUCACGUGAGCUUUUCAGUCUUCUUUAGCCCUGACUCAGUCAGAAGCCUAGUCGGGCGCGUUUGGCACCGCACCGUCAGUCCUACAGAUGCAUUCAAUUAAUGUCCGGGGAGAGGUCUCUGAGCUAGUUUGGUGUCUCUGCCUAGGAAGUAAAGUGUGUCGCUAGCUUUAUCAAGAUAUUACUGACAUAUAACAUAAGUAAGUUUAAGGUAUACAACGCGAUGAUUUGGUGCACCCUACAGUUGGCUCUCCGUAUCCGCAAGUUCCGCAUCUGCAGAUUGAGCCAACCACAGAUCCUGUACUUCUGUGUUUAUGAUCCGAGAAUGCAGAACCCCCGGAUAUUGAGGGCCUACUAAGGGACAGAGGCUCCGUGGAUUUUGGUAUCCACGGGGGUCCUGGAACCAAUCCCCCGUGGAUACCGAGGGACAACUGUAUCUUGUGGGAUGAUUGCCACAACAAGGUUAGUUAACGCCCUGUCCCCUCAUGUAAUUACCAUUUUUUUGUUUGGGUAACAUUUAAGAUCUACUCUCAACAACUUUCAGUAUAUAACACAGUACUGUUAAUGUUAUACGUUAGAUUGCCAGAACUUAUUCAUCUUAUGGCUGGAAGUUUGUACCCCUUGACCAAGAUUUGCCCCAGUACAUUUGCCCCAGUGCAUUUGCUGAUCUCCAUCUCUCUGAGUUUGGCUUUGUUAGAUUCCACACGGACGUGAGAACAUACGCUGUCUUUCUCUGUCUGACUUAUUUCACUUAGCGUAAAGCCUUCAGGGUCCAUCCAUGUCGUUGCAAAAGGCAGGAUUUUCUUCUAUUUUAUAGCUGAAUAACGUUCCAUCGUAUAUGUAUACACCACCUUUUCUUCAUCCAUUCAUCCAUCCAUGGACACCUAGGUUGUUUCCGUAGCUUGGCCGUAGCUGCGAUGUAAAUCUUAAAAUCGGUGUUACUCCUUCAGUUUUAUUUUUUGUUUUCAAAAUUAUUUGGCUGUUCUAGUUUCUUCGCCUCUCCAUAUAAAUUUUACAAUCAGUUAGUCUCUAUCUACAAAACAUGAUGCUGGGAUUUUUUAUUGGAAUUGUAUGAAAUUGAUGGAUCCAUUUGGGGACUAUUGGCAUCUUAAUUAUAUUGAAUUUAUCAACCCAUGAGCACAGUAUAUGUCUCCAUAUAUUUAGGUCUUCUUUUGUUUCUUUCCUCAGCUUUUUGUGGUUUUUUUUUUUAAUUUUGUUUUGUAAUCGUUCAUUGAUAGUAUUUAGAAAUACUCUUGAUUUUUUGUGUUGAGCUUGUAUCCUGCAACAUUGCUGAGCUCACCUGUUAUAGGAGAUUUUAAAAAUAGAUUUCAUGGGAUUUUCUAUGUAGAUAAUCAUGUCUACAUUCAUCAAUGAAUUGGAGCAGUUUUAUUUCCUCCUUCCCAAUCUGUAAGCCAUUUCUUUUUCUUGCCUUACUAGAGUGGCUAGGACUUCCAGUACAAUGUUGAAUAGCAGGAGUGAGAAAGUGGCCAUCCUCCUGGCGUCAUUCCUGAUCUUAGGAAGAAAGCCUUUAGUCUUUCUCCAUUAAGUAGGAUGGAAGGUGUAGGUAUUUUUGUAGAUGCUCUAUAUCAGGCUAAGAAAGCUCCCUUCUACUCCUGAAUGUUUUUAUCAUGAAUGGCUGUUGAAUUUUGUCAGACGCUUUUUCUGCAUCAAUUGAUAGGAUCAUGUGGUUCUUUUUCUUUGGUUCGCUAAUAUGGUGGACUUAGUGAUUGAUUUUUGAAUACUCCACCAGCUUUGCACUUUUGGGAUAAACCCCACUUGGUCAUGGUGUAUUAUUCUGUUUAUAUGUUACUGAAUUUGAUUUGUUAAUGCUGUUUUUGUCUGAUUUUGGUAUCGGGAUAAUGCUAAUCUGAUAGAGUGAUUCAAGAAGUGUUCCCUCUCUUCUGUUUCCUUGAAGAGACUGUGUAGAAUUGCUGUGAUUUCUUCUUAAGUGUUUGGUAGGAUUUUCCAGGGAAUACCAUAGGAGCCUGGAGAUUUCUGAAGUUUUUCAACGACAAAUUUGAUUUUUUAGUAGAUAUGUAUCUAUUCGGAUUAUCUGUUUACUUUUGGUUGGGCUUUGAUAGUUUGUGUCUUUCAAGCAAUUGUUCCAUUUUAUCUUAAGUUGCCAGAUGUGGGAACGUGCAGUUACUUAUAGGAUCCUUUUAAUUUCUGUGGAGCCUGUAACCUGUUUUAUUCCUGAUGUUGGGAAGUUGUGUCUUUUCUUUAUUUAUCUUUCCGUUGUUGUUGUUGUUGUUGUCAGCCUGGGUAGUUUAUGGAUUUUAUUGACCUUUUCAAAGAACUAGUUUUGGUUUCAUUGAUUAUGUCUAUUCUUUUUCCGAUUUCUGCUCCAAUCUCUAUUUCCCUUAUUCUGCUUGCUUUGAGUUUAUCUUCAUUUUCUUUUUCUAGUUUCUUAAGGUGGAAGCUUUCAUCCUUGAUUUGGGUCCUUCAUUCUUUCUAAGACAAGCAUUUGAUGCUGGACAUUUACUGCUAAGCAUUGCUUUAGCUGCAUCCUGCAAAUUUUGAUGUGUUGUAUUUUCAUUUUCAUUCAGUUCAAAAUAUUUUCUAAUUUCCCCUGAGUCUUGCUCUUUGACCCAUGGAUUAUUUAGAAGUGUAUAGUUUAAUUUCCUUGUGUUUGGAGAUUUUCCUCUUAACUUUUUCUUACUUCUCGGUGGCUUUUCUCUUUUGGUCGGACAACAUUCUUUGUAUGAUUUCAACUAUAUUUACAUUUGGUAAGAUUUGUUUUAUGACCUAGAAUAUGAUCUACCUUGGUGAAACUUCCAUAUGCACUUGAAAUAAAUGUACAUUCCACUGUUGUUAUGUGGAGAGUUCCAAACUUGUCAGUUACAUC